UACGGAGGGUGCAAGCGUUAAUCGGAAUUACUGGGCGUAAAGCGCACGCAGGCGGUCUGUUAAGUCAGAUGUGAAAUCCCCAAGCUUAACCUGGGAACUGCAUUUGAAACUGGCGGUCUUGAGUCUAGUAGAGGAGGGUAGAAUUCCAGGUGUAGCGGUGAAAUGCGUAGAGAUCUGGAAGAAUACCGGUGGCGAAGGCGGCCCCCUGGACGAAGACUGACGCUCAGGUGCGAAAGCGUGGGGAGCAAACAGG
rnacentral:rRNA from 1 species